GAGGCAGGAGUCCGAGGAGGUUAGUUGUGGCAAUAAAAAUGAUUAAGGAUACUAGUAUAAGAGAUCAGGUUCGUCCCUUAGUGUUGUGUAUGGCUAUCAUUUGUUUUGAGGUUAGUUGGAUUAGUCAUUGUUGGGUGGUAAUUAGUCGGUUGUUGAUGAGAUAUUUGGAGGUGGGGAUCAAUAGAGGGGGAAAUAGAAUGAUCAGUACUGCGGCGGGUAGGCCUAGGAUUGUGGGGGCAAUGAAUGAAGUGAACAGAUUUUCGUUCAUUUUGGUUCUCAGGGUUUGUUAUAGUUUUUUAUUUUUAUGGGCUUUGGUGAGGGAGAGGGGGUGCUAUAGGGUAAAUACGGGCCCUAUUUCAAAGAUUUUUAGGGGAAUUAAUUCUAGGACGAUGGGUAAGACGUCUUGUGAUGUAAUUAUUAUACGAAUGGGGGCUUCAACCGGGAGUACUACUCGAUUGUCAACGUCAAGGAGUCGCAGGUCGCAGAGAGGGGGGUAAGAGUCAGAAGCUUAUGUUGUUUAUGCGGGGAAACGCCAUAUCGGGGGCACCGAUUAUUAGGGGAACUAGAUAAAAGGGGAGAUAGGUAGGAGCAGUGUGGUAAGGGCGAUGAGUGUGGGGAGGAAUGGGGUGGGUUUUGUGUGUUCAAACUGUCAUUUUAUUUUUACGUUGUUAGAUAUAGGGAGUAGUGUGAUUGAGGUGGAGUAGAUUAGGCGCAGGUAGAAGUAGAGGUUAAGGAGGGUGAUGAUGGCUAUGAUGGUGGGGAUGAUGAGGCUAUUGUUUUUUGUGAAUUCUUCGAUAAUGGCCCAUUUGGGCAAAAAGCCGGUUAGCGGGGGCAGAGAACUGCUGUUAUUCAUCCUAUGUGGGUAAUUGAGGAGUAUGCUAAGAUUUUGCGUAGUUGGGUUUGGUUUAAUCCACCUCAACUGCCUGCCAUGAUGGAUAAGAUUGAAAGAGUGAGGAGAAGGCUUACGUUUAAUGAGGGAGAAAUUUGGUAUAUGAUUGAGAUGGGGGCUAGUUUUUGUCAUGUGAGAAGGAGCAGGCCGGAUGUCAGAGGGGUGCCUUGGGUAACCUCUGGGACUCAGAAGUGAAAGGGGGCUAUUCCUAGUUUUAUUGCUAUAGCCAUUAUGAUUAUUAAUGAUGAGUAUUGAUUGGUGGUAUUGGUUAUGGUUCAUUGUCCGGAGAGUAUAUUGUUGAAGAGGAUAGCUAUUAGAAGGAUUAUGGAUGCGGUACAGGGAGGUCAGAAGUAGGGUCUUGGUGACAAAAUAUGUUGUGUAGAGUUCAGGGGAGAGUGCGUUAUAUGUUGUUCCUAGGAAGAUUGUAGUGGUGAGGGUGUUUAUUAUAAUAAUGUUUGUGUAUUCGGCUAUGAAGAAUAGGGCGAAGGGGCCUGCGGCGUAUUCGAUGUUGAAGCCUGAGACUAGUUCGGACUCCCUU
rnacentral:lncRNA from 1 species